UGAAAGUGACGUCACUUCCGCCCUUACCAUGCCCACACCUCCUGUCUUCCUUUCCCACACCUAUCAUGGACGUCACCCCUCUCACUUCCUCCCUUGCUGUCAUUUCCUUCCCCGCCCCUGUCAUGGCUGCCUCCAUCAUGAGGCCUACCCCUAUUAUGCUCGUCCCAUUUAGAGACAUGUUGUAAUGUUUCCCUGUAUCAACAAUGUGUCCGUGAUAUAAAAAAAGAGAAGGUUGCUAAAAUGUAAUUUGCAACUGUGGUGUGACCUACAAAUGAGAUCUGUUGGACACGAAUAUAAGAGCAUAACAGCU